rnacentral:lncRNA from 1 species
GCAAAGAGUUCCAUUAUGUCAUUUUUAUGCAUGAAAGUAGAAAAUCUAAUAUAGAUGCUCAUAGUUUAGUCAGGAGUGCUCUUUCGCUCCAGCACGGCAGGUUUACUUGGCUUCUUCAGCCAUGGACCGAUUCUAAUGUACCUUUAUCUAUUGAUUAAUAAAGCCGUGUGACUUUGCUAAAAACAUUAAUUGGAGAGAACUAAAAAAAAUCGGAGAGAGAAAAAAAAGGCAAUCCCUCCGAAAGGCGGAAGAUCACAAGUUUGAAGCUAGUAAGUGAUUUGAUACUUUGGC